UGAUACAAGCAAGCCUCAUUCAUAUGAUCUC
rnacentral:piRNA from 1 species